rnacentral:lncRNA from 1 species
CUACACUCCAGCCUGGGCAACAAGAGCAAAACUCUGUCUAAAAAAAUAAAUAAAUAAUCUGUAUAGAAAACCUACUCAGAUGAAGUAAUAAAUUUGUUUUUAGUUGCAGCCAAGAAAGAACAGCUACCUUUUGGAGCAGAGAUGACUAAUGCCAUAUAUAAAGUAUUUCUUCAUAUAACUCAUUAAUGGUCAUGGCAGAGAAGAUAUAAAUGCACAACAGAACACAUAGAUUUUAAGAACUAUUUUUUUUAAUGUGGAGCUAAGCAACUGGAUAUAUUACUCCAUUUAUGAACACAGGAUUGAUUAAACCUAAAUUGCUAAAAAAGAUACAGCAUUUACAUACAUGAAACUGAUGUUUUGAGUUGUAACAAUUAGUGCCUUGUAUAAAGGGAAUUAGUAAAACUGAAACCUUGUAGCUGAUUGUCAACUCCAUUUUAAAAGUUUUAAUUAGACCAGAAGAAAUCUGCAAACAGAACUUUUGUUUGCUUGUGGUUUUGUUUUGAAAUAGGGUCUCACUCUGUCACCCAGGCUGGAGUACAGUGGCGCUAUCUCGGCCCACUGCAUCCUUGACCUCCCAGGGCUCAGUUGAUCCUCCCACCUCAGCCUCCCUAAUAGCUGGGACUACAGGCACAUGCCACCACACCUGGGUAAUUUUUCUAUUUUUUAUAGAGAUGGGGCUUCACCGCGUUGCCCAGGCUGGCCUCCAACUCCAAAGCUCAAGGGAUCUGCCCACCUCAGCCUCCCAAAGUGCUGGGAUUGCAGGUGUGAGCCAGCGCUCCCAGCCUAAACAGAACAUUUUAAAGCUAGAGAUGGUUGACCCCUGCCCUUGAGCUACAAAAUAACCCAGCUAGUGAAUGACUUCUGAGCCUUAAAGAAAGUAAUUGCAGUGGUCUUCAAGAUAGCUCUGGACCCAAAACUAUCAACAUUAGGAGAGACAGUUGGGGAACUCAGCAGUUUUAACAAGUCUUGGGAUUCCUUAAUGCCUUCCCUGCUUGGAUGUCACCCAAGAACAUGGCACUACUGUUGUAGUGAUGCAUGGGGCCAUGGCAAGAUAUGUAAAGUGCCUGCACAGCUAUCCACACACGCUUUGUUGGCUUGGAGGCUCGUCGGUCUUAAGUCUCUUCAUGAUUUUGAGUGUUUCGUUGCUAUAAAGUUAGAGUAAACUUUUUCAAGAAGAAUGAUAGAAGAAACACUUCUAAAAUAUCUUAGUAAUUCAUGGACAGAAAACCAAACGCCGCAUGUUCUCACUCAUAGGUGGGAAUUGAACAAUGAGAACACUUGGACACAGGGUGGGGAACACCACACACCAGGGCCUGUCGUGGGGUGGGGGGUGGGGGGAGGGAUAGCAUUAGGAGAUACACCUAAUGUAAAUUAUGAGUUAAUGGGUGCAGCACACCAACAUGGCACAUGUAUACAUAUGUAACAAACCUACAGGUUGUGCACACGUACCCUAGAACUUAAAGUAUAAUAAUAAAAAAAAAACUUAGUAAUUCAUUUGACCUUUCCAAUAAAGUUUUCAUCUAUUGUCUCACCAUCCUGGUUAAUGUGGAGCUGUUCACAUUGUUAGUUCUACAGUGUAGCUAAAUGCAGACAAAAAUGUUGCCACUUAGUUGUAAUUAAAAUGAAGAUAAUAGAUAACAAAGGAGGCAAUUAAUUAUAGCAUAGUCAUUUUAUGGAAUAUUAUGCAUUCAAGAAAAAUCAGUAUCACGUCCUCAAGGCAGCAUGGAAAAGCUCAUGAUAAAAAGAUAAAGCAAUAUAAGGUUACACUGAUUAAAAGAAAAAGCCUACACAUGCUAAAAUGCUGAAAGAAAAAAGUGUCAGUGAUUGGAUUAUAAGUGGCUUUUUCCUCUAAACUUUCUGUAAUGUUGUAUAACUUUUGUAAGUUUUUAAAAUAUAUUCUUAAACAAAACUGAGUAGCUGAAAUCAUUUUGCAAAGUGUUGAUAUAAGAAAUGAACCCACCAGGCCACCGCAUCAGCUUAGAUGGAAUGUGGAAGCCCAAGAAUUCUGCACUCUGGCAAAACGCAACCCUCCAUCUCUGCCGACAAUCCCAGGUUGGAAAACAUUGUUUGGAGACCAUCAGGACUAAUUUCAUGAUACCCUUUAUUCCUAUUAAUGCCAAUCACUCCAAGAAGCCCAGGUCUCACAGUUCAUUCUGCAUCCUCCAUUUCUAAUCU